rnacentral:rRNA from 1 species
UGUGGGCACUCUAAGGAGACUGCCGGUGCAAACCGGAGGAAGUGGGGAUGACGUCAAGUCAUCAUGGCCCUUACGGCCUGGGCUACACACGUGCUACAAUGGUCGGUACAAAGGGUUGCCAAGCCGCGAGGUGGAGCUAAUCCCAUAAAACCGAUCGUAGUCCGGAUCGCAGUCUGCAACUCGACUGCGUGAAGUCGGAAUCGCUAGUAAUCGUGAAUCAGAAUGUCACGGUGAAUACGUUCCCGGGCCUU